AGAGGUGAAAUGAAAUUCGCCUGAGGAUGAGCCCGCGUCUGAUUAGCUAGUUGGUGUGGUAAUGGCGCACCAAGGCUUCGAUCAGUAGCUGGUCUGAGAGGAUGAUCAGCCACACUGGGACUGAGACACGGCCCAGACUCCUACGGGAGGCAGCAGUGGGGAAUUUUCCGCAAUGGGCGAAAGCCUGACGGAGCAACGCCGCGUGAGGGAUGAAGGCCUCUGGGCUGUAAACCUCUUUUCUCAAGGAAGAAGAUCUGACGGUACUUGAGGAAUAAGCCACGGCUAAUUCCGUGCCAGCAGCCGCGGUAAUACGGGAGUGGCAAGCGUUAUCCGGAAUUAUUGGGCGUAAAGCGUCCGCAGGCGGCCUUGUAAGUCUGUCGUUAAAGCGUGGAGCUUAACUCCAUUUCAGCGAUGGAAACUACAAGGCUUGAGUGUGGUAGGGGCAGAGGG
rnacentral:rRNA from 1 species